AACGCACAUUGCGCCCCUUGGUAUUCCGAGGGGCAUGCCUGUUCGAGCGUCAUUUCAACCCCUCAAGCUUAGCUUGGUGUUGGGCUGCGCCAGCGUUGCUGGCGGGCCUUAAAAUCAGUGGCGGUGCCGUUUGGGCUCCAAGCGUAGUAGCAUCUCUCGCUCUGGAGACCCGGCGGUUGCUUGCCAGACAAUCACCAAAAAAACAAAGGUUUGACCUCGGAUCAGGUAGGGAUACCCGCUGAACUUAA
rnacentral:misc_RNA from 1 species